rnacentral:rRNA from 1 species
CAGCCGCCGCGGUAAUACGAAGGGGGCUAGCGUUGUUCGGAUUUACUGGGCGUAAAGGGCGCGUAGGCGGACUGAUAAGUCAGGGGUGAAAUCCCAAGGCUCAACCUUGGAACUGCCUUUGAUACUGUUUGUCUUGAGUUCGAGAGAGGUAAGUGGAACUGCGAGUGUAGAGGUGAAAUUCGUAGAUAUUCGCAAGAACACCAGUGGCGAAGGCGGCUUACUGGCUCGAAACUGACGCUGAGGCGCGAAAGCGUGGGGAGCAAACAGGAUUAGAUACCCCCGUAGUCCCUGUCUCUUAUAC